rnacentral:antisense_RNA from 1 species
CUUGAGCGACCCCAGCCACAGCGGGUCCCGGCCGUCGCGGCCCUGCCCGUACGUGGCCAGCAGCGCAUGGGCCUC